GACGAACGCUGGCGGCGUGCUUAACACAUGCAAGUCGAACGGAAAGGCCCUGCUUUUGUGGGGUGCUCGAGUGGCGAACGGGUGAGUAACACGUGAGUAACCUGCCCUUGACUUUGGGAUAACUUCAGGAAACUGGGGCUAAUACCGGAUAGGAGCUCCUGCUGCAUGGUGGGGGUUGGAAAGUUUCGGCGGUUGGGGAUGGACUCGCGGCUUAUCAGCUUGUUGGUGGGGUAGUGGCUUACCAAGGCUUUGACGGGUAGCCGGCCUGAGAGGGUGACCGGCCACAUUGGGACUGAGAUACGGCCCAGACUCCUACGGGAGGCAGCAGGGGGGAAUAUUGCCCAAUGGGCGGGAGCCUGAUGCAGCAACGCCGCGUGCGGGAUGACGGCCUUCGGGUUGUAAACCGCUUUCGCCUGUGACGAAGCGUGAGUGACGGUAAUGGGUAAAGAAGCACCGGCUAACUACGUG
rnacentral:rRNA from 1 species